UUUUAUUUUCACUUGCAUAAUAUUCAUUUACUUCAACUUUGAAGAAUAAGUAUGCAGCUACAGAAGACAAUAUAUAUUGAUAACAAUUGUCUCAUUUCUCUACUGCAAUAUUCCAGCAGAAAGAAUGGCUCAUUCAUGAGUCUUUAUUUCCUUCAACCACACCAAAACUGUGAUACAUAAACAUGUAUGUCAUCCCUUUUUAGCUAUACUUUCUUAAUUAUUUUGGUGAUAUAGCUCUAGUAUUUAAUUAUAGUAGUAAAUAUAUUCAAAGAUGCUUAGAAAUGCGGGCCAUCACCAAAAGACUUAGGCAAGGAUGUUCAAAAGAAUUCCUUUAUAAAAAGACCCUGUUUCUGAGUUCGUUAACUUCCUGUUCGUUAACUUCACUUGAUGGGUCCUAGUAAAAUGCUUAAAUGGGUACUUUUUGAAAAUUUCAUUAAAAAUGUUCAUCUCUAUUAAAAAAUCUGUAAAUUUAAAACUCAUGUUUACUGGAAUACAAGCACUGAUUUACUGUAUGUCAGCUAAAAAUAUCAAGAGAAGUUAAAGAAUGACUCAUACUAAUUAAAAAGCUACUAUUCUAGGCUUUGUACUGAAAAUACCUAGGGGAAUAAACAAUCAUAAAAUUUAUAAACAAGUUUAUGAGAUUUGUUGGCACAACCCAAAGCCAAAUCUAAUGGAUAAUCAUGCUUUACUGGUUUUCUUCAAAGCAUUUAGGGGGAAUGCUGAGGAGGGGAAUUAGAAUCCCACGAGGUUGCAGUAACCUAUUGGGCAGUGGAUAUUAUAUUAGAGUUUAGAUGUCUUCCUGUUUCCCUGUCAGGAGCAUCCUUCUUGUACCCUUCCCAGGUCUUAUCUCUUUAUCAAGUAUCCAUGCCAAGUAUCCUCUUGCAUAACAUUUCCUUUAAACCAGUCCUUUCAAGCAAAGAGCCAACCUCUUCCUUCCUUUCUCCAUUAUCAGACUUAUCCUGAUACACAAAUUUGAGAGGCGAUUUAUAGGAUUGAUGUAUGCACUUUAUCAGGAUAUAUCAAGACAUUUUUCAGAACUUUUGAGGCCAGGAAGCCCUUCUCGACUCUUCAAAGUUGCGGCAAAUAUAUCCUUCACAUAUUUCCUUCUCUACCUCAUAUAUAUUUUAUUAAAGUGAUCUGCAGCCUUCCCAACUCUUAUCUUAUUCUGAGUAUAGCAAUGGCAUAUUAAAAAGUUGUAUAUUUUAGGAACUGUAUCAGUACUGGCUUGGGGUACACUCAGCCAGAGACAGCUGCCGCUUCCAAUGAAUCACCCAGUCACGUGAAAGGGAUAGAGGAAAGGAGAGUGAAGACUUUACAGUCAGACAAGCCUGGCUCUGCCAUCGAGCUAUUACAAACUGUGUCUCUUUUUAUUGCAACCUGCUUCCCAGAGUUGUGGAGAUUUAAUGCUAUGAUAACUGACUCAUCUCGGCUAUUCCCAAGCCUUUAAAUGUAUCUAUCUCCAUGCUGGUGAUUUCUCUAUGUAAUUCUUCAGUUGGAAACUGUCUUAUGGAUUCUGACCCUCUUUGAGGUCUCCACCUGAACGACUUAGAGGCCUAUCAAAAACAAUUUAGCCAGAGCAACACUAUUAACACUCUUUACCACCAAGUUUGAUCCUUCCCCAUCAAAUUUCCCUUAGUGAAAAGAACCACCUGCCACAUUGGUGAAGCCAAACUGAUUUCGUUGAUAUCUUUCUUUGUCCAUGUCACUCUCUGCUCUCUCCAGCCCUUCCUCUUCUCCAGUCCAGCUCAUUUUCCAGCCAGGAAUGGUUCUCUUUGUUUUUCAUUUGGUUUAGUCUACAUUUAGGACUCAAGCACAACAUCCUGUAAGAACUGUUGCCUGCCAUUAGAAGAAGGUAGUUGGCCUUCAUAUUCCCAGAGAACCUCCUGCUUCAUUUUUGGUUUUUGUUUGUUUAACAAAACACUAAUUCUGUAAUGGAAUAGUGUAAUAUAUUAAUAACUAAAAUUUGUGAACCAAAUGCUAUGUGAUGAAUUAUACUUUCUACGUACCUCUUGAUCUGCUCUAUUCUAUUUAAUCUUCAUAAUCACCUUAGGAAGUAGGUACCAUUGUCAUCCCUAUUUUGCAAAUAAAGAAACUGAAGACAGAAAAGUCAGUAUUCUCCCCAGAUUUUUACAGCCAGCAACUGAACCCUAGAGAUCUGACUCUAGAGCUCAUAUAAUUAUCUAAUAUUUCCUUUCUUGCUCAAAAAUCUCCAAGGAUUUUUCCUGUAUUAUUCAUUGUUGUACUUGUGGUACUAGAAUAAUGCCUAUUGUGUAACAGCUGCUAUGUGUUUACAGGUUCACCUAAAGAGUAAAUAGUGACUAAUUUGCAUCUCUCUUUCCUUAAGGACAGAAACUAGGUUUUAUUCACUUUGUUUGUAGCAGCUACCCUAGUACCUGGCAAAUAAUAAAAUUCUUAAGCUCAUUUCUCUCUGUAGGCUCAUGAGAUAGUUUCUAUUUUGCCUUUGUGCUCUUAUAGGUUAGAUCUUGUAUUCACCCUCCUAUGCCAUACUUUGCUGUUUGUCAAGUUUUCAGUGUACAGAAAAAAAAAAAAAUCUGGUCAGCUGCUGCUUGACAGCUGGAAAAACAGAGCUGUUCUGGAGCCAAACAAUUUGUACCUCAAGAAAAUCAAGGAGGAGACCUCUAUCCUCCUGGGGGUGUGUGGGUGGAGGGCUGAAUCAUCAAGUUCUUUGAGUUCCUUGGAAAAAGAUAACUCAAAGGAGUGUUAAACAACACGAAGAAAUAGGAGAAGAAUAAGCAGAAACAUAAAAAUGAUUAAAGUGUUGAAAAACACGACCCACAGGCUAAAAAUAAUUACUGUAGAGUUUAGAGAGAAAACGUGGAUCAGCUUUCCAGCGCUCCGAUGGGCUCUGCGUCAAUGGCUUCAGUCUGAAGGAUGGUGGACAGAUGUUCAUGGGCCCCAGCAAGGAGUGCGCAGCAGGCCAAGACGCCUUGGAGGGCUGAAACUGAGGAAAGAGGACUUGGGCUUCAGCAAAACAUUGUCAAAGAGAAUCUUCAGCUCCCUGUGACCUAGGCAGCCGAAAGGAAGUGCACAAUCAUGAUAGUUUCUGGGUGUAGGGGCUUUGUCUGUUUUGUUUUUCUAAAGGAACACUUAACAUUUCCAGUAGAUUUUAAAAAUAUGUUGUAAUCUUUUUCUAGAAAGUUUGAAAACUUCGAGUGAGGGUUUGUGUGCCAGAAUAUUUUGUCAUGCAAAGAGAUAAACAAAGGAAAAAUUCUCACGUUCCAAUCUCUGGUUUGUCUGGUCAUUCACAUUUGAGAGACUCGUUGGUAUUUCAAGAUGGGCCACGGCCUUGAGGUCCCUACUGCUCUGUGACUUUACCAAUUUGAUUAUGCAGGCUGACCUUCGUCUUUUUGAGCAGCACUACGCGAACAAUAUUAUAAAAACCAAAGAAGCAGAAAAUGUGUAAAUAAAACACUGAACUCUCAGUCAUCUGCUAGACUCAGUAGGAGUGGAGUUGUUCAUUUUUGUUAUUAUCCUUAUUGCUAUUUAUGGAGCCUAAGCUAGGCUCAAACUCUCUGUAUAGCCCAGGCUGAUCUCAAAUUCAUGAUCCUCCCACCUCAGCCUCUUGAACGCUGACUAUAUUAUUUUUCAUUAGCAUCAUUUCCUUAAUUUCUUAAGUUUUGUUUUAUAACAAGAAAAUUUAAGAUAGAGCCUAAAGUCAGAAGAGUUUUUGACCAGAAUUAAGUUUAAUAAGGUGAUUCCCCAGAUGGGCUCACUUGCUGAAAGGGGACUCUAAAAAGUAUUUAUUCAGCAGUUUGAUAUACAGCUAGUAUAUUAGGGAGAGGUGCUGUGUACAUACGUGUAUUGUGACAAUGGAUGCCCCUAGGGAGGAGGAGAAUUACAUAAGAUAUAUGGGUGCUAAUACUUUCACUAUGGUUUGUUUAUCUUUUCUGCCCAGGAAGAGUCUACUCCCUUUAUGGGCAAGGCCCAUCUCCUCUAAUAUAUCCUUGUAAACUUUCUUUGUCUUCCUCAAGGAUUUCAAGAAGUUAAAACGUAUAUAUGGAUAGAGCAAAUCUAGAAAUUCAAGCUUCUUGUGUUGCUAAACAUUUAUAGUGUUUCAUACCAAUUUUAUUCAUGGAAGGUAAACUUGACAAGAGGUUUUACCAGUGAUUUUUUGUAACACUUGGUAUGCUAGCUAUUGUGUAAAAUAUGGCAAGCUUUUGCCUCUUGGGAUCUCCAAGCUCAGCAGUCUAACUUGGUUCCUGUGUCAGAAACUUAAAGAUCCCAUGUGCAUACAACCCUGCUCUGAGGUCUUGAAGGUCCCUCCAGACCUCCAGCUACUUAAGAAAGGAGUAACUAAGACAGUGUCACUUUUGAGUGGUCAACUUAACGCCAGCUGGAUUACAUCAGCAUGUAUUGAGAGAAGAUGCUCCACCUGAGAAGGGUUGCCAGGAUAAAUAGGUGGAGAAGAAGAGAGGUGAGGAGAGGGAUUGAGGCGUUAUGGAGGCAUUGUUGGUUCUCCUAUGAGUUGCUGUUUGAGCUGUUGGUUCUCCUGGAGAAGCUUUGGUCUUCACAUCGAGCAUUGCUUCCUGGCUCCAGAGCAGAAGACAUGUGCUGCUUGGUCUCCAGGAUGAACUCGUCACGCUGCUUCCUGCAUGUUCCCGACUGUGCUUGUCGUCGGAGGAGCUCGGGGCCUCUGUGUCGCUGAGGACAGCUGUGGUUCCUUUCAGGACAGCCCCGCUCUUUGUUGUGAGUGUGACUUCUCAGCUCCAGUGUAGAACCCUCAUCCCACUAGCACAGCUCCUUCAUCCUGCUGGCAUGGACUUUCUGGCUUCCACCGCUGACCUUUGGGUCUUCCCGGCAUGAAUCCGUAAAAGAGACUGGCGUGAGUCCUUCUUGUGGGCCCUGGACUUCUAGUGGGACUCGUGGAGGCAUUGUCCUGAGCUCUGGGUUUUUAUCUGGACUCAUGUGGGACAUUGCCAUGGGGUUUAGACUCUUGACUAAAUAAUCUAUGUCGUUGGUGUUGCAGAUGGAUUUCCUGCAUUCUCCUGUGUUAACUUCCGGUGACCAUUAUAAAAAUACUAUAAACUCCA